AGGCCAGGUGUCAGGCUCAGGACAACCAGCCAUGCUCAUGGAGUGAAUCUAGAUUUCAUGAGACGGCUGACCUCCAGGCCACAGAGCAGCCCUGUGUAACCGAGACUUCACCCUUCCAGAGCAGGAGGGAAACGCGGAGCGGUGGCUUUGAUGGUCCAGGGGAAACAACACACGGGUUUGGUUGGGAAUUUGGGCUGAAGGACAGACCAUGUCCUCAUCUUUAAAAUCCUGUCAUCACAGACUUUGAGUGCUGGUAUUAGUCUCUGAGAAAGAACAUUUCUUUCAACGCCUCCACAUUGAGCCUUCUGUUCAAAAGUUCUCAACGUUCUUCCGGACGUGAAUGCGGCACACGCAGACGAGAUGGACGAGGCAUGUUUGAGAUCAUUGCUAUGACUACCCUGGACUCACUCCUACUCUAGUGAGAGUCUGUGAUUCUGGGAAAAGUAUAUUUCGCUUGUGCCUGGACCAUAAUCAAUCUAUGUUCAGAGCUAGAUCGGCCUGUGUUCUAAAUCAGUGGUUCCACAGUUCCUGGGGACCCACUGUGUAUUCUGGUUUAUGUUACAAGUCUCGUUUGUUGAAAACAUGUGUUCUAUUGUAAUAGUUCUAUUCUAUUUUUUUCCUACAGCUUAAUCGAUCUGACUGAUUACAUCUCCUGAGAUGUGAAUAAGAAACAUUUAUUCUUCAUAGUGUGCAUAGCUAUUUCUGACAUAAUAUAGCCUUAACGUGGCCAAAAUGUCAAUUAAUCAUGACCUAUCUUUGCAAGAUAUCUGUGCAAUUUAUAUGAAUAUGAACAUUUUAAUUACGAAGUGCUGU